rnacentral:rRNA from 1 species
UACAGAGGGUGCAAGCGUUAAUCGGAAUUACUGGGCGUAAAGCGCGCGUAGGUGGUUCGUUAAGUUGGAUGUGAAAUCCCCAGGCUCAACCUGGGAACUGCGUCCGAUACUGGCAGGCUUGAAUCCGGGAGAGGGAUGUGGAAUUCCAGGUGUAGCGGUGAAAUGCGUAGAUAUCUGGAGGAACACCGGUGGCGAAGGCGGCAUCCUGGACCGGUAUUGACGCUGAGGCGCGAAAGCUAGGGGAGCAAACGGG